rnacentral:rRNA from 1 species
GCCUCCCUCCGCCGCCACUCACGACUCCUACCGGACGGCGAGCGAGGUGGGGUAAGUUUUGUCACAAUGGGCGGCGAACGCCUGAUGCAGCGACGCCGCGUGGAGGGAGUGACUGCUUCGGUUGUAACUCUUCAGCAGGACGAAGCGAAGUGACGGUACCUGCAGAAGAAGCACCGGCCAACUACGUGCCAGCAGCCGCGGUAAUAC